rnacentral:rRNA from 1 species
UACGUAGGGGGCGAGCGUUGUCCGGAUUUAUUGGGCGUAAAACGCUUGUAGGUGGCCACGCCAAUUCGUGUGUGAAAUCUCCCGGCUUAACUGGGAGAGGCCAAGGAAUACUAUCUGACUUGAGUGUGGUAGGGGUAACUGGAAUUCCCGGUGUAGCGGUGAAAUGCGUAGAUAUCGGGAGGAAUACCUAUGGCGAAGGCAGGUUACUGGGCCAUCACUGACGCUGAGCUGCGAAAGCUAGGGGAGCAAACAGG